UGGGCUCGGUCCGGCAGCCCCGGCUGGCUGCCCGUGUGCGAGGGGCUCCGGCCUGCGAACGGCGCGCAGAGGAAAUAAAAAAUAAAAACUCGCGACAGCAGAAAAAGCCUUGCGGGAGCCCGGCAGGAGGGGGAUGUCUGCCUCGGCGGUACCCCCAGUUUGUUUUCUUAGUGGCUCUUUGAUGUCUUUUUCAGCGUGUCAGCUGCCGGGUGAACUCUUGUGUUCCCACACACACAAAGCCGGCUGAACAUCCCAGCCAACAUCAACACUCCCCCCCAAAGCAGAUUUGGCAUCAUCGUGAGCGCUGGAAUAAAUUUCUCGACUGUUUGAUAGGGUGCUGGCGUGCUCACAGACAGCUCAGCAAAACAAGACUGGGGACAUCCCUGAGUUCUCAAAAACACCGUGUCUGUACAGCAAAACGUUGCUUUAUCAGACGCAUAAAUUCCAAACGUGUGUUCCUCUAAGUCCUGAGCUUGGCAGUCUUCCUGAUGCAGACAAGAGAUGCUUUAUAAGUCAUCACAAGAGGCCUUCACAAGAAGAACAGUGAUGUUUAUUUUGGGGAAUUCUAAUUCCUCAGCUUUGGUCUUUUUUUUGUCAAAUAAUUUGAAAUAUGAAGAACUGGGGUGGGAUAAAUGAGAACACGUGGACCUGUAGUUACUCUGAGUCUCUGCAACCCAUCUGCCAUUUGCUUUGUGCCAUCACAGAAACUCAUAACACAGUGUUCCAGCACUCCUGCAGCUGUCUCCUCAGCAACUCCUGUGUUGUCAUCUGAUUCAACACAUGCUCAAGGAACACUUACAAAGGGAGUUGAGUCAUCUCCUAAAUCUGGACCAUCAUCCUCUGAACACAAAAACCUUCCUCUGCAGGACUUAAGGGCAAGUAUUAACUGGGUCAUUUUGCAUAGGAUGUUUUAGCUUCUCUUACUUUAAAUUACUUGUGUGUCUAACUGAAAAGCACAUAAUUUAGCUGUAUCCACCAAAAUUUUCUUUGUGUCACUUGUGUUACGUAGUGCCAAAUACUUAUUUAUCUUCUUACUUCUGUGUUCUAUUUCCUUUUUUUUAAAUUAUCAUUUCAAAAUAGACUCACAUCUUCACUGGAUUGUUUUUUGUACAUAUAUGUAAUUUCUGUGGACUGUGGCUAAUUUGCUGUCACUCAGGAGCCUUUGAGUCUCAAGGAACAUGACCUCCUGUAUAAUCAAAUUGUUAUUCCAGUUAUUCAUAACGUUAAAAGACAAUCACUGUGAAUAUCAAUCUGACUUAAGUCAUCUGAUAUACUUAGCAUUUAAAAGGACUGAUGAAUGAGGACAUGUAUUAGACACCCUAAAAGUGAGGAAAAAGCAAGAUUAACUGUUUAUGGCUUAUUAUUUUCUUAGCACUAUAAAAUAUCAUACACAUUUUUUGCAUUUUUAAAUGGAUGGACUUGUUUCCAGUCUUUUCUCUGUGCUUGCCAAAAAUGUGUGCUCUGGUAGUUUGAAAACUCUCUAGCACUACUACAAGUGAUUAAUACUAGGAUUUUUUUGGCUUUAUAUCCAAGUUGCUGGGUUACUUGCAGCUCUGAAUAAGAUUUACAUGAAGACUUGUGAAGAGCUCUAUAUCUGAGUUGUAUUACAUUGCUCAAAAUAAAGUUUUUCACCUGACUUCUUCAGUAUAAUUCUUUUCCUGUUUUAGGAAUUUUCAUGCUAGCUCUGUUUUUAUUAAUACUGUCUUUAUUAAAUUGAUAAUAUCCCAAAGUAACACUUUCUGCUUUAGGUUUAUUUUCUUGAUUUAUUUGCUAGCAUGUUUAUCUUAUCCCUCUCUCUUGCCUAGUUCUUUUUUGAUUUAACCUUGAUUUUUUUCCCUUUGUUUUACAGUAAGUCAUGUGCAUUGACAUCCCUAAGAAAUUUAAAGUUACACAGAAGAAAAUGAAACAACAUAUUGAUGGAUGAGAUAGGCAUGAUGGUUUCUCCAUGAUGUUAUUGCAUGUUGAUAAAGGGACAGCACUGUGAAAUAUGAGAUGCAAGUGUCCUCAAAAUAUUACCCUGGUUUUACAAGGAGUUGCACAAGAAGCCAUUCCUUUUCUGCAAAAGGAAGGCUUGAUUAUUCAUAACUGUGAAAACAAAAAGCAACACUGCCAGCAACAGAAAAAUAACUGUCAUAUGUUUCCUGGUUAAUUUCCUUUCUAUUCCAUAAGUAUAGAUAUUACUAUUAAUGAAAAAGAAAAAGCAAACUAUUAUCUCUUGUCUCUGUUUUUCAUAAAUCUAGACAUGUUUUGCAAAUUUAGCUUAAAACAGUCAAACAUCUUGCCCUAUUUUUUUCAUUUUUAGAAUAAACUGAAGUAUUUCAGCUUUUG
rnacentral:lncRNA from 12 species